CCGUCAACGGGUUCUUCACUUCUUCUCUUGCUUCUAUCAGCUCCACUGCUCCAGCCUCCUGAGUCCUGAGAUCUGCCGUUCUUCCACUUGCUUGCUUGUCUUCAAGUGAAAUUGGUUGUUGUGCUCCAAGGGUACUGACUGGAAUUGAAGAUCAUGUUUGCCAACUGCUCUGUUUAUGUGUCUUUUGUUAGUGCAAUGCUUUUGUUAGUGCUGCCUUUGCAUAUAUUCUUUGCAAUUUAUAUUCAUGGUUCUGUUAUAUCUAAAGACUUUUAUAAAAUUUAGUGUGCUGAAGAUUCAAAUUGUUAUUAUUAAUUUUUUAUGCAUGUGUUACAAAUUUAAAAUAUUAGACAGUGAUGCCUAUGAAAGUCUGGAUCAUAAUGAUCUCACUUUCAAGGCUGGAUGGAAUGAUAUGCUUGAAUGUUGGAGCAACCACUGGUGAAAUUUCAAAUUAUGAAGAUUUACUUGAAUGUUCUCCGUUGUUUUAUGGAUCAAUGAAACAAGUAUUUGGGAGUAAGAAUUAUGAAAGAAAUUGCAAACUCUGCUGAGUGUUGUGGCAAGUUUUAUGCAUGCAGAUUCUGCCCUGGUAAAGUCAGUGAAAUUAAUGGAUAUGUAAGUUUGCCCUUAUAUUGUUUGCUUGAUUAACAGUGGACUUCCAUAGAUAAUGUUUUUAGUAUCAAUGUUUAUUUGCAGGAAAGCUACGGCUGAAAUAUUAUGCAUGCAGUGCUUGAGACCAGUUUUCACAAUUCCUUCCUGUGGUGGACUAUUGAUAGCAGAGUACAAUUGCAUUAUUUGCAAAUUUUAAAAUGAUAAAAUGUAUAUACUUUUUUUUAUUAAUUUUUCCUCCCUAAUCAUUAAUUGAUGACAUUAGUUUUUAUUUUUUCAGAAUUUUAUGGAGUGCAAAUUUGUUGGAGCCAACUGAAAGAAUUGAGUCCAAAAUCAUCUUUUAUUUUUUAUUUUUGUAAGUUGUGCAGCUGUCUACUGUGAGUCUAUUUUGUGGAACAACAACAACAACAAGAUGGCAGAAAGAUGGGCCUCCCUUUUGGUAUUCCAGAAUGUACUGUGAAAUGAGUGAAGCUAUCGUAAGUGUGGGUUAUGCGGAUCCUAUGCUAGCAGUCUACUUAAGGCCCAGAAGAAUGAGCUUUGUGAUGAGAAGCAGAGGCUCAACGCGGACAAAGAGAAGUUGGAGCCUAGUUGCUUAGAAUUGAACACACCCAGGGUUUGCUUCAUGUUACUUGUAACUUUGUAAGGCAA